AACGAACGCUGGCGGCAGGCCUAACACAUGCAAGUCGAGCGAAGCCUUCGGGCUUAGCGGCGGACGGGUGAGUAACGCGUGGGAACGUGCCCUUUGGUACGGCAUAGCCCCGGGAAACUGGGAGUAAUACCGUAUGUGGUCGAGAGACGAAAGAUUUAUCGCCAAAGGAUCGGCCCGCGUUGGAUUAGGUAGUUGGUGGGGUAAUGGCCUACCAAGCCGACGAUCCAUAGCUGGUUUGAGAGGAUGAUCAGCCACACUGGGACUGAGACACGGCGCAGACUCCUACGGGAGGCAGCAGUGGGGAAUCUUAGACAAUGGGGGAAACCCUGAUCUAGCCAUGCCGCGUGAUCGAUGAAGGCCUUAGGGUUGUAAAGAUCUUUCAGUGGGGAAGAUAAUGACUGUACCCACAGAAGAAGCCCCGGCUAACUCCGUGCCAGCAGCCGCAGUAACAC
rnacentral:rRNA from 1 species